rnacentral:rRNA from 1 species
GAUGAACGCUGGCGGCGUGCCUAAUACAUGCAAGUCGAGCGAACAGACGAGGAGCUUGCUCCUCUGACGUUAGCGGCGGACGGGUGAGUAACACGUGGAUAACCUACCUAUAAGACUGGGAUAACUUCGGGAAACCGGAGCUAAUACCGGAUAAUAUAUUGAACCGCAUGGUUCAAUAGUGAAAGACGGUUUUGCUGUCACUUAUAGAUGGAUCCGCGCCGCAUUAGCUAGUUGGGAAGGUAACGGCUUACCAAGGCAACGAUGCGUAGCCGACCUGAGAGGGUGGUCGGCAACCCUGGAACUGAGACACGGCCCAGACUCCUACGGGAGGCAGCAGUAGGGAAUCUUCCGCGAUGGGCGAAAGCCUGACGGAGCAAAGCCGCGGGAGGGAUGAAGGUCUCAGGAUCGUAAAACUCUGUUAUUAGGGAAGAACAAAUGUGUUAGUAACUAUGCACGUCUUGACGGUACCUAAUCAGAAAGCCACGGCUAACUACGUG